CCCUUAGAUGUUCUGGGCCGCACGCGCGCUACACUGAUGCAUUCAACGAGUCUAAAACCUGCUCUGAUAGGGGUGGGUAAUCUUUUGAAUGUGCAUCGUGAUUGGGAUAGAUGAUUGCAAUUUUUCAUCUUCAAUGAGGAAUGCCUAGUAAACGCAAGUCAUCAGCUUGCAUUGAUUACGUCCCUGCCCUUUGUACACACCGCCCGUCGCUCCUACCGAUUGAAUGAUCCGAUGAAUAUCAUGGAUUGAGGAUGCAAGCAGGUUCGCCUGUCUUCAUCUUCGAGAAGUGAAGUAAAUCUUAUCAUUUAGAGGAAGGAGAAGUCGUAACA
rnacentral:rRNA from 1 species